GACGAACGCUGGCGGCGUGCUUAACACAUGCAAGUCGAACGAAGUGGCGAACGGGUGAGUAACGCGUAAUCAACCCGCCCUUCAGAGGGGGACAACAGUUGGAAACGACUGCUAAUACCGCAUACUGAAGGAGGGGAUUGAGUUUGAUUAGCUAGUUGGCGGGGUAACGGCCCACCAAGGCGAGGAUCAGUAGCCGGUCUGAGAGGUUGAGCGGCCACAUUGGGACUGAGAAACGGCCCAGACUCCUACGGGAGGCAGCAGUUGGGAAUCUUCCGCAAUGGACGGAAGUCUGACGGAGCAACGCCGCGUGAGUGAUGACGGCCUUCGGGUUGUAAAGCUCUGUUAAUCGGGACGCGGUACCGGAAUAGAAAGCCACGGCUAACUACGUGCCAGCAGCCGCGGUAAUAC
rnacentral:rRNA from 1 species